rnacentral:rRNA from 1 species
CAAAUCUCAAAAAAACAAUCUCAGUUCAGACUGCAGGCUGCAACUCGCCUGCACGAAGUCGGAAUUGCUAGUAAUCGUAGGUCAGCAUACUACGGUGAAUACGUUCCCGGGCCUUGUACACACGCCCGUCAAACCAUGAGAGUCGGGAACACCCGAAGUCCGUAGCCUAACCGCAAGGGGGCGCGGCCGAAGGUGGGUUCGAUAAUUGGGGUGAAGUCGUAACAAGGUACC